AUUGAACGCUGGCGGCAGGCUUAACACAUGCAAGUCGAGCGAGCGGCGGACGGGUGAGUAAUGUCUGGGAAACUGCCUGAUGGAGGGGGAUAACUACUGGAAACGGUAGCUAAUACCGCAUACCAUCAGAUGUGCCCAGAUGGGAUUAGCUAGUAGGUGGGGUAAUGGCUCACUUAGGCGGCGAUCGCUAGCUGGUCUGAGAGGAUGACAACCCACACUGGAACUGAGACACGGACCAGACUCCUACGGGAGGUAGCAGUGGGGAAUAUUGCACAAGUGGGGGAAGCCUGAUGCAGCCAUGCGGCGUGUGUGAAGAAGACCUUCGGGUUGUAAUGCACUUUCAGCGAGGAGACGUUACUCGCAGAAGAAGCACCGGCUAACUCCGUGCCAGCAGCCGCGGUAAUAC
rnacentral:rRNA from 1 species